UACGGGGGGGGCAAGCGUUGUUCGGAAUUACUGGGCGUAAAGGGCUCGUAGGCGGCCAACUAAGUCAUACGUGAAAUCCCUCGGCUUAACCGGGGAACUGCGUCUGAUACUGGGAGUGGCUUGAGAUUGGGAGAGGGAUGCGGAAUUCCAGGUGUAGCGGUGAAAUGCGUAGAUAUCUGGAGGAACACCGGUGGCGAAGGCGGCAUCCUGGACCAACACUGACGCUGAGGAGCGAAGC
rnacentral:rRNA from 1 species